rfam:Drosophila willistoni strain TSC#14030-0811.24 scf2_1100000004962 genomic scaffold, whole genome shotgun sequence.
AUGGAGGUGUUUAGUCCGUAGGCAUACUGUUAGUAUGAAUCGGGCAUAUUUAUUGCGACGGCGCAUUAAAUAUCUUUGGAAGAUUCACCCACCAU